CGGGGCCAUUCGGUGUUGAUACUUCUGUUCAGGGCGGGAGCUAAGGUCAAGUUCUGUUCUUACCUGAGGAGUGGCUGAUGCAGGAUACUUUGUCAUUGAAUGGGGGAAGCUGGAGGAGCAAAUCAGAGACAAUUACAUAUCAGCAGUGGAUCUGUAUUCAUCUAACAGGAGACAAAUAGUAAGAAUACAAGAAGUCUAACUAGCCUAUUGUUAGAUUUCCUAAACUUUCCUAAACCACCAAUAUUUGAAAGAGAAAGUAAGCAGAAUAAAUAUUCCUCAGCAGACUGGGCAGUCUGGUGAGGGCAGGGUGAUAUGGCUAAAAAAAUAAUAUUGUGGUAUUUUUAGUCUAUUUCACGAUAUACAUCUCGAUAUUUUAAAAUUUUCUCAAAAGGACUUCAUGAAUUCUCACUUUCACCCUGUGAUGUUUUAAAUGAUGUCUGUGAUGCAGUAGGCUAGGAUAAAUCAUACCAGUCCAAUGCCUGUAAUUUAUAUCCGCAUUAAAUCAUUCUUGGUUAUUCA